UUAAUACCGCAUACGACCUACGGGUGAAAGCGGGGGACCGUAAGGCCUCGCGCUAUUGGAGCGGCCGAUGUCAGAUUAGGUUGUUGGUGGGGUAAAGGCCUACCAAGCCGACGAUCUGUAGCUGGUCUGAGAGGACGACCAGCCACACUGGGACUGAGACACGGCCCAGACUCCUACGGGAGGCAGCAGUGGGGAAUUUUGGACAAUGGGGGCAACCCUGAUCCAGCCAUGCCGCGUGCGGGAAGAAGGCCUUCGGGUUGUAAACCGCUUCUGUCAGGGAAGAAACGCUCUGAGCUAAUACCUCGGGGUAAUGACGGUACCUGAAGAAUAAGCACCGGCUAACUACGUGCCAGCAGCCGCGGUAAUACGUAGGGUGCGAGCGUUAAUCGGAAUUACUGGGCGUAAAGCGUGCGCAGGCGGUCGUGCAAGACAGAUGUGAAAUCCCCGGGCUUAACCUGGGAACUGCAUUUGUGACUGCACGGCUGGAGUGCGGCAGAAGGGGAUGGAAUUCCGCGUGUAGCAGUGAAAUGCGUAGAUAUGCGGAGGACACCGAUGGCGAAGGCAAUCCCCUGGGCCUGCACUGACGCUCAUGCACGAAAGCGUGGGGGAGCAAACAGAUUAGAUACCCUGUAGUCCACGCCCUAAA
rnacentral:rRNA from 1 species